UAGUUUUUAAUUAGAAUAUUUUUGAUGAGAUGCAAAUGGUUAAAACAAUAUUUCAAAUAGGUGUGAAGAAUCCAUUCUAUCUGAGAAAGGGGUUAUGUGUGUUUCUUUUUUUUUUUUUUAAGGCUUCUCUUCAAUGACAGAAACGUGUGUUUCUUCAUUAAAGUAAAACCCAAGCGGAGAUUUUCACUAAUAAAAAGAAAAACAUUAAUUAUCUCCUGAAAAUAAGCUCUGCAUAAUGGCCGUAUGUAGCCAUGAAGAUACUGGUGUUAAAAAGUAUUGCUGAGAUUAUAUAAUCAAUACUAAGUUCUUAGGAUAACCAUGUGAAUAUUAACUCUAUUAUAUAACACUGCUGUGUUAUGACACAGAAGUAUAUUUCAAAGAUGUUGCCAUUAAAAAAUACCAAGUCACUGUAGAAAUCCAUUGGCAUUUGUAGAGUGCUGAAACAGUUUUCAGUUCUUAAAAACAGAUGCAAGUUAGAACACAACAAUGAGUUCUGUUUAAAUAAUCAACACUUUCACCAAACUUUUACAAGUCAAAUAUAUCAAUUGUGUUUGAGACUGUGUUUUAAGAAUUAAAUAAAAGCAGUGUGAGAUAAUUAUAUUUCAAUAAGAAUAAUAAGCCUAAAAGACAGAAAAUACUUCUUUAAGAGAACUAAAGUCUGGUUUAAAGCUUUUAAAUAGAAAGAGGUCAUAGAGGGACAUUCUGGAUAAAAAGGGUUGGCUGGGGGCUGAAAUUAUAAAAGAUGGUAUACCCUGAUUUCUAUGGACACCUUUUGUACAAAUGGGUAUACAAGUCUCGCAAGGGCUGCCAAAAUUGCCACUGAGUUUAUCUCACCAUGAUACUACCUCAGUGCCUACACGAAUUACUAUGUGAUGUUUAAAAUGUGUAUUGUUCAUGUUGCUUGAAAUAAGUAGCUCUUCAUCUGUUACUCUGGAAUCUUUUUCUUGCAAACAUUUUAAAUUUUGAUAACCCAAUUUUUAUAAUAGGCCUUGGCAUGUAUACAAGGGGUUCGAUGCAGUUACAGGAGAAAGAAAUGUUGGCUCUUCCAGAUUUAUCUCAGAAGUAAGGAUUAAAAUGGCUCAUUUAAUCCAGGGACUUGGAGAACUGAUUCCUUUCUCUUUACAGAGAAAGAAAGAAAAUAAAAGAAAAAGAAAGGAAAGGAAGGAAGAAAGAAAAGAAAGAAAGAGAGAGAGAAAGAAAGAAAAGACAGAAAGAGAAAGGAAGGAAGGAAGGUUUUAAUGAGGAGACAAUGCUUUUUGUCCCUGAGCUUCUCUUGUUCAAGUGCAGAACAGAAAAAGGAGAGAGAAAGUUUGAUGCAGGGAUCAGGCCUCCUCAGCCGCUGAUGCCUCAUGAUAGAAGCACCGUGGCUUCUCAAGGACUGUAGGUUACAGAAGGCUCCCGUCUAGACUGAGUCAGGCCUGGUGGCUGGCACACACACAGUCUACCCAGUGUCUGCAAGAGCAGCCAAUUGGGAGACACUCCACACUUCUCUCUGAGUCAUUGCCUUGUCCAUCCAGGUGCCCACAGCACACACCAACCCACUGCAAACAAGACCUUUUCUCCUGGGAGAAAGCCUCAACGUUUUCAAGCUUGAGUUUUCAGAGACUAUUCACAAUAGCAAAGAUAUGGAAUCACCCUAAGUGUCCGUCAGCUAAUGAUUGGAUAAGGAAAGUGUCGUAUACAUGGAAGACUCCUUAGCCAUAAAAAGAAGGAAAUCAUGUUUUUUGCAGCAACCGGGGUGAAACUGGAGGCCAUUAUCUUAACUGAAACAACUCAAAACCAAGAAGUCAAGCACUGCAUAUUCUCACUCAGAAGUGUGAGCUGAAAAAUGUGUACACAUGGAUGUACAGAGUGGAAUCACAGACU